rnacentral:rRNA from 1 species
AGUGAACGCUGGCGGUAGGCCUAACACAUGCAAGUCGAACGGCAGCACAGUAAGAGCUUGCUCUUACGGGUGGCGAGUGGCGGACGGGUGAGGAAUACAUCGGAAUCUACUUUUUCGUGGGGGAUAACGUAGGGAAACUUACGCUAAUACCGCAUACGACCUACGGGUGAAAGCAGGGGAUCUUCGGACCUUGCGCGAUUGAAUGAGCCGAUGUCGGAUUAGCUAGUUGGCUGGGUAAAGGCCCACCAAGGCGACGAUCCGUAGCUGGUCUGAGAGGAUGAUCAGCCACACUGGAACUGAGACACGGUCCAGACUCCUACGGGAGGCAACAGUGGGGAAUAUUGGACAAUGGGCGCAAGCCUGAUCCAGCCAUACCGCGUGGGUGAAGAAGGCCUUCGGGUUGUAAAGCCCUUUUGUUGGGAAAGAAAAGCAGCAGGUUAAUACCCCGCUGUUCUGACGGUACCCAAAGAAUAAGCACCGGCUAACUUCGUG